UACGUAGGGGGCGAGCGUUGUCCGGAGUUACUGGGCGUAAAGCGCUUGAUAGGCGGUCCGACCAAGUUUGGGGUGACAGUUGCCGACUUGAAUCGGCCAAAGUGCCUCAAAGACUGGCGGACGUUGAGGGCCACGAGAGGGACAUGGAACUCCAGGUGUAGUGGUGAAAUGCGUAGAUAUCUGGAAGAACACCAAAGGCGAAGGCAGUGUCCUGGGUGGUCGCUGACGCUGAGAGGCGAAAGCCAGGGGAGCGGAACGGG
rnacentral:rRNA from 1 species